GAUAACUAGCUGAUCUCCCCCGAAAGUUCCUGUCGACGGGAAGGGUUGGCACCUCGAUAUCGGCUCGUCGCAUUCUAAGGCCGAAGUAGGUCGCAAGGGCUGGUCUGUUCGUCACUAAACGGUGAGGUGGAAGUUAACAGCCAGAGGUG
rnacentral:ncRNA from 1 species